GUAGCCGUUUCAGGCUGGAGGGAACAUUCCCUAAGGCUCCUCUCCAUCUGUGUCCUUGGCGAUUUCCCUGCCUUGGUGAAGCAGGUUUUGUGUGCAAAAUAAUGCGGAUAGAGGGGAACCACAAGAAGAAUAAUCAUGGGAAAGUUGAACCAAUUCUGUAAUGUGUAACUGUGUUCAUCCAUGUGAGGGCGUCCUUUCUCUUCAACCUCAGACUCUCAUCCUAUUCCUAGACCUGGAGCCUUUUGUGGGAACAAAGCCCUUAGAAGGCAGUGCAUUAGCUUACAAGGGUCAAAGUACCAUCUGUAAUGCCAUCCUGUAAUAACAACCUCUGUCAUGCCAAGGAAGCUGGCUUUCUUCUGAGGGCUGUUUGCACAACUGGGUUAUGCCCAGUCACAUCAUUGGAUGACAGCGAGGAGUCAAGCCUGAGGAUGAAGCUAACACAGAAAGGAAGGCAGAGCAGAGACAAGUACCAAGACUAUGCUGGAGUCUUGAUCAAACAACAUAUGAAUUUCACUCUAUUUCUGGACUUUUCAAUGACACCUGCAAUAUUAUAUCCACUUUCAUGGCUGCAACCACCACAUCCAUGGGACGACUCCAAAGCAUCCAUCUCAGUCCUUGACAGACAGUUGCAGAUCUCCAGCUGACUGUCAAACACUCUUAACUGCAGAACUGCUGCCAUAAUGUGUUUAAGCUCUAACUGAGGAUCUGUAACUGACUAGCCAUGUGAACUCGGAACUGUCACGUAUCUUUCAGAACUUCAGCGUUUCAUUCGACAACAAGAAUGGUUUGAAGUUGAAUAUCUACCGUACAAGACUUUAAGGCCUAGGAGGAGCCUUGUCUAUCCAAUUAUUGACGGGACCUCUUUAGCCUAAGGUUCCUGUAGUUGUAAUGUGUGCCGUCCAAUACAGUUUAAAUUUAAAUUUAAUUAAACGUAUAUUCAAUUGAAAAUUCAUGUCAUCUGCUUCACUAGCCACAUUUAAAUGUUCAGUUGCCACUUGUGACGGUGGCUACCAUAAUGGACAAUGCUGAUAUAGAACAUUUUCAUCCCUGCAGAAUGUCUCAUUGGAUAAUGCUGUAGGUUAACCAACCACCACGUAUAAAGCCAAAAUUAUCUUCCUCUCCAUUAGCUCAAACUUUAUACUUCCUACGUCUCAUAGUAGCAUUAACACCAUUGUUAUGGACUGAAUUGUGUCCCCCACCAGAUUCAUAUGUUG
rnacentral:lncRNA from 1 species